rnacentral:rRNA from 1 species
UACGGAGGGUGCAAGCGUUGUCCGGAAUCACUGGGCUUAAAGCGUGUGUAGGCGGGUCGUUAAGUACCUUGUGAAAUCCCCCGGCUCAACCGGGGAACGGCUGGGUAUACUGGCGAUCUUGAGCCACCUAGGGGCAGUCGGAACAAGUGGUGGAGCGGUGAAAUGCGUAGAUAUCACUUGGAACGCCAAUGGUGAAAACAGACUGCUGGGGGUGUGCUGACGCUGAGACACGAAAGCCAGGGGAGCAAACGGG